AGCGAACGCUGGCGGCAGGCCUAACACAUGCAAGUCGAACGAAGUCUUCGGACUUAGUGGCGGACGGGUGAGUAACACGUGGGAACGUACCUUUUGGUUCGGAACAACUCAGGGAAACUUGAGCUAAUACCGGAUGAGCCCUUAGGGGGAAAGAUUUAUCGCCGAAAGAGCGGCCCGCGUUAGAUUAGCUAGUUGGUGAGGUAAAGGCUCACCAAGGCUACGAUCUAUAGCUGGUCUGAGAGGAUGAUCAGCCACACUGGGACUGAGACACGGCCCAGACUCCUACGGGAGGCAGCAGUGGGGAAUCCUGCGCAAUGGGCGAAAGCCUGACGCAGCCAUGCCGCGUGAAUGAUGAAGGUCUUAGGAUUGUAAAAUUCUUUCACCAGGGACGAUAAUGACGGUACCUGGGGAAAAAGCCCCGGCUAACUUCGUGCCAGCAGCCGCCGUAACAC
rnacentral:rRNA from 1 species